UGCCCCAAAUAGUUUCAAUUAACUCUUUUCCUUUCCGGCAAGAUCUGCAGCUCUCCGCAUUGCUUUUUGGGAGCGAUUACUUCCUAGAUUUACAAAUGUCACAGCCUCAUAUGCUUCUGCUUCCAGAAAGCAUGUCGCAGCAGAGAGCUUCAUUUCUGUGUGAAGUGAGAGUAACAGCAACAGAACCAAAUAGGGCAAGAUUACAGAUGAAGAAAGUAACCUUCCUACUGGAGUUGUGACUUGAAUCCAUGCCUGUGUGACUCAAAUCUUGUACGAAUGGCUCCAGGGAAGCUGAGAUCCUUUGAGUAUAGGGGAGCCCAUGUUCUGACCUGGGCAUUGGUGGGCACGUCCAGGAGCAGCAUAAGAAGAUUGCAUGAGUCCAGGCUAUCAACACUGAACGUCUGACCAGCACAGGAAAUGGUGGAGAGAAGGGAUGAAGGGUAGAGACGUCUCAGAGGUGGAACCUACA